UGUAUUUUAGUUCUAGAUACAUCCAUUUCAGCGACGAGUAAUUUGGAACGGAGGGAGUAGUAAUACUGUUUAACAAUCUGCAGCUUAAUCAUCUUACAAAUACCAAUCAUAUCCCCUUUCUCACUCUAUAGCAAAUAGAUCAGGACCUGGGCUUUGUUAUUCUCCUGAUUCUGAAAGUUAACCACUUGAUCUUUUAUUGCUUAAAUAGUGUACUCACGUACUGUCCGAUUGACGCAUCAGUGUAGGAACCAGGUUUAGUUAUAAAGAAAAAUCAAGAUUUGUAAAUUAACAAAUACAACGAUGUUUGGUUGCUGGACACGAAGGUACUUCCAUAUUUUCACCAUGAAUACUGGAAUAGUUCAUCUAAUUCGAGUGGUAACUAAUGUAAUUUACGAAAAUAACCAAGUCAAAUGAGAAAUCUAAGAAGCAAAAAACACCAGCUGUUGUCAGGAAUGCUUCUGUUACCUUUUUGCAUACAAUCACCAAAUGCUUGCCAAGAUCAUGAUUCAUUGAACAUCCGUAGGCUGAAUAGUGUUUGCUAGCAGAGACCUAUAAAGUGUAUUUAGAAAAAACAAUGCGUGAAAUGAGGCAUCGAUGUACAAUUGCAUUGACAUUUGUUCUUUCGUAACCAAUAGUUUUACAUGGCACUAUUAAUUUAGCUAGGAGUUCAGUUCCAUCAGUUUUGUUCUAAUGUUUUGUUCAUUUAUUUAUUUUUGCGGGAUAACAUUACUAUUUUCUAUUCGAACAUACGGAGAAACAGCACAAGGUGUCAUCCCAGCGGAUAAUAUUAGUAAAUUUAAGAUCAGAAUUCGAGAAGGAGUGAUCUACACGAUCCAGCAUUACCUGAUUCUGAGAGCAAAUGAAAAAUACAGAGCCACUGAUCAUCCUUUCAGGCUUUCUUUUAUUAAUACAAAUACUGUGUGUCCCGUCAACCCUCAGCCUCCUGGUUUUCCUCUCAUCGCUCAUAAUGCUCUUCCAUUCUCGGAACUAGAAAAACGAAACGGAUAAAAUGUGCUUAUGUCAGAUGUAAUUGGUGGAAUUACCGGAAUCAUGGAUUUUCUUCCUCCUACUGUAAAUGCACGGGAGCCAAGACGUCAAAUCUUUAUUACCAAUCGACAAUAUAUCAUUUUCUCACAUUUACAGCAGUGUACAUCAUCCAUGAAUGACCACUUCUACAAAAUCCAGCAACUUAACUAGUUAUGCAGGAGACACGCAAUCGUUAUGCUUUGGGGAGAUUUUGUACAGUCCUUUGAUGCAGACACACUGCGCUCCUGAGCCCUGGCCAAGAGGGAACCCGUUUUGGUACUGUUUGUUGGGGUCAUGGUAGAUCGGUAUGCAGAGGCUGAAGACCAGACCGACCCACCUUUUGCCGAGUUUACUUUCUUUGGGCAGCAAGAACUAAUAACCGAAACAACUGCAGCAGCCCAUCCGAAGGGGUUCGCCACCUGAAAUAGAGAGGCUUCGCGGCAAGAAAUUAAUUACUACAUUCACUACAAAUGAUAAGACUCUGAGAGCCAGUCUUCUGCCAUUUCAAAGUGUAAGCAAUAGAUCACUUAGAAAACGAAAGACCACUUGCACAGUUUCUGAUGCGUAAUCCAGCAGCAGUUCCAGACAUUCAUGGCUCUUCAUCCUCUGCAUCUGCAACAAUUGAAGGUCAUCUUGCAACACAACCGCCUAUUAAGGACGGUCAGCAGAGUAAUUCACCAUCUGAAUCAGAAUCAGCUGAGCCACUUAAUGACAAGAUAGGCUCAAGUGACAAGAAAAGGUCAGCAGAAAGCAACAAGCUUGCGGACACAUAGGCGAACAAGAGCCUGCAGCAAAAGAGUUGUUCCAUGCAGCAACCGCCCAGGAAAGUGGAGCUACUACAGAGAAGUAGACCACCUCUCGAAUGUAGUUCUAUCCAGUAGUCAAACCAGGCACAUUCUAUUAUGUAUAUGAACCAAGAUGUAGAUAUGCAUUUAUGCCCGUCGAACUAAGUAGGUCGUGUUAGUAUCUUCUGUUGCACAAGCGUACUGUGAGCCUUAAGCAUGUCGUUUGCAUCACAAUAACAUCCUUUUGGCCA